GCCCAGAUUCCUACGGGAGGCAGCAGUGGGGAAUAUUGCACAAUGGGCGAAAGCCUGAUGCAGCAACGCCGCGUGAGGGACGACGGCCUUCGGGUUGUAAACCUCUUUUAGCAGGGAAGAAGCGAAAGUGACGGUACCUGCAGAAAAAGCGCCGGCUAACUACGUGCCAGCAGCCGCGGUAAUACGUAGGGCGCAAGCGUUAUCCGGAAUUAUUGGGCGUAAAGAGCUCGUAGGCGGUUUGUCGCGUCUGCUGUGAAAUCCCGAGGCUCAACCUCGGGUCUGCAGUGGGUACGGGCAGACUAGAGUGCGGUAGGGGAGAUUGGAAUUCCUGGUGUAGCGGUGGAAUGCGCAGAUAUCAGGAGGAACACCGAUGGCGAAGGCAGAUCUCUGGGCCGUAACUGACGCUGAGGAGCGAAAGGGUGGGGAGCAAACAGGCUUAGAUACCCUGGUAGUCCACCCCGUAAACGUUGGGAACUAGUUGUGGGGUCCAUUCCACGGAUUCCGUGACGCAGCUAACGCAUUAAGUUCCCCGCCUGGGGAGUACGGCCGCAAGGCUAAAACUCAAAGGAAUUGACGGGGACCCGCACAAGCGGCGGAGCAUGCGGAUUAAUUCGAUGCAACGCGAAGAACCUUACCAAGGCUUGACAUAUACGAGAACGGGCCAGAAAUGGUCAACUCUUUGGACACUCGUAAACAGGUGGUGCAUGGUUGUCGUCAGCUCGUGUCGUGAGAUGUUGGGUUAAGUCCCGCAACGAGCGCAACCCUCGUUCUAUGUUGCCAGCACGUAAUGGUGGGAACUCAUGGGAUACUGCCGGGGUCAACUCGGAGGAAGGUGGGGAUGACGUCAAAUCAUCAUGCCCCUUAUGUCUUGGGCUUCACGCAUGCUACAAUGGCCGGUACAAAGGGCUGCAAUACCGUAAGGUGGAGCGAAUCCCAAAAAGCCGGUCCCAGUUCGGAUUGAGGUCUGCAACUCGACCUCAUGAAGUCGGAGUCGCUAGUAAUCGCAGAUCAGCAACGCUGCGGUGAAUACGUUCCCGGGUCUUGUACACACCGCCCGUCAAGUCAUGAAAGUCGGUAACACCUGAAGCCGGUGGCCCAACCC
rnacentral:rRNA from 1 species